GCACAGGUGACUGCUACCGUCGAUAUAAAAGGCACGACGCUUCUUCUUGAAGUCAGUUCACUUGGAGCCUUGCUACAGCCAACAUUAUGAAGGUAAUGACACUGUCGAUGAGCGUUGCCCUCCUGGUGGCCUGCUCUUAUGCUGAACCCGAUGCAAGUUCCUUCUCCACUUACCCUUACGUAGGUGGAAGCUAUGGGCUCUCCAGUCCAGGCAUUGGAAGAGGCUUCGGCUCAUUUGGUGGGGGAACACGUUACGGUUCCUUUGGAGGUGUUGGUGGAGGCUACGGUUUCGGAAGCGGCCCCACGAGUCAUUCCAUUUUCAACCUUGGAGCACCCCAGGGUAGAUAUGGAGGCAACUUUGGACGCGGCUUCGAUAGAGGUUACAUCGGAGGAUCCUCUGGCCUAGGUUUCGGUGGUAACUUCCAAGGUUGAAGACUCAGUAAAAACUCCUUUCGGAGUUGUUACAGUGGCAGCUUCAUUGGCAGUGUUUAAGGUAGCGGCUCCACUGGCAGAGUUGGUGUUUUAUAUUGGAAAUGAAUAAGGAUAAUGUACGAACAGGUGAAUGUAUGAAUUCAAGAAAGUCUGACACAUUGUCGUUAUAUUUUUUUUUUUCAGCACUCACAUAACAACUUUCGUAUAAAAUAUUUUCAAAUAAAAAAUUUAAAAGUAAAUUUAAGUGCCGUUUGAUAUGACGGUUAAAUCCCAGUAGUAUGAAAUUGGCCUAAAUACAUAUCAGUAGCGUUCAUAUAUGAAUCUUUUUCGGAUAUGCAUGUCUUAUUUCCUAUUUGAUUAUUAUUGAUGUAUUUUAGAAGCAAAAAUAAAGAUUUGUGUAAU
rnacentral:lncRNA from 1 species